rnacentral:rRNA from 1 species
CCCGGUGAAUAUUUUAACGGCCGCAGUUAGAAGCUGUGCUAAGGUAGCGUAGUCAGUUGUCCUUUAAAUGGGGAAAGGAAUGAAUGGUUUGACGUGAGAAAAUCUGUCUCUGGCAUAAUGGAAGAAAUUUUCUUUUUGGUGAAAAGCCCAAAAUUGAAUUAAAAGACGAGAAGACCCUUUCGAGCUUGAUUCAGCUUUGGAAGUUUCUAGAGGAAAAGUUUGGUUGGGGCAACCUAGGAGCAAAAUUAGACUCCUUAAGCUUAUUUUGAGCCAAAAAUUUUGAAUAGAGAAAAAGCUACCGUAGGGAUAACAGCGUUAUCUUCUCUGAGAGAACAUAUUGAAGAGAAG